UCACCUCCUCUCCCGAGGGAGCCCUUAGGAUCCAGCAACAGAGAGGAAAAGUUUAUUUCAGCUCAUAGCUUUGGAGGUUUCAGCCCAUCAUUGGUUUGGGUCCUGAUAUUCACUUCAAGGAAGGGCACUCUCUCAAGGACACUCAGUCCUGGGGAUUGACUUCAGAUCAUCAGGGCUGCUGGCAAACACCUCUACCUGCUGAGUCACCUCACCAGCCCAACCCUUUAGAUCCUUAGACCUGUGUUUGAGGAUGACUUUCUUGGAAACAACUGCUUUGAAGGGCUCCUGGAUAUGAUAGGAAGAAAUCUGAGGACGCUUGAGUCAUUUGUGCCACACUCGGUUUUCAGAGGAACCGACUCCAUCUGCAGCAUCCUCCUGGAAGAGUAAAAAUGAUAAACCCUGAACAAUAUUUGGAGGGUUCCUUGAGUCGUUGAAGCCAACACACAGAUCCCAGGUUAAGUAAUCUUAACCUAGAGUUCCAGAACAUUUCCUCAACUGGGAGCCAGGGGAAGGGCUGCAGAGAAGAUCCAAGCUGAACUGCCAAGCAACGUUUUUCAUUCGCGUCCCUUAUUCGCCUUGGACAGCAGGUGGCGCGCCCGCCUGCCUCAACGGCCCGCUGGUCGCAUUCCAAGAACCUGUUGGUGCGCGAGGGGGCGUGGCGCAGUGCUGGUCCCUGUCUGCCCUAAGGAACUGCUUCCCAGUGUCGCAUGCAUGUAGGAAGGAUGCCCGGUGGUAGGCGGUGAGGGGCAGCCUGGGGGCCUUAUUCCUUCCUAGCGGUGAGCUGUAGACUUGGCGUAACCGACCUGCUAAGCGUGGUGGAGAGGCGCGCGCCGCUGGGUGCUCCGGGCGUUCGCAUGCGGUGUGCCAGCAGAGCUUCUGGCAAGAGCACAAAACACAGAAAGCCGACUGCAAAUACUUCCACAUGUAAAGGAGGACACUGGAACCUUUCUGUAUUUUUUUAAAAGGCACGAAAGCUGGAGAUGUAGCUCAGUGGUAGACUCUUGCCUAGCUUGUGUGAGUGAGGAGGAUUUAGGUUCAAAUCCCUUGUACCGCAAAAUUCAAAUCAAAUAAAACAAAAACGAAACGCAUCAAAAUAACUAAGGUUUGCUUUCUGCAAACCCCGAUUCUCUUUCAAGAGAAUCUCUUACAGGGCAUCUUUCACCUGCACACCAGCCUUCUUCCUCAUUGUGGGGAAGGGUGUAUAGGUAAACCAACCGGGAAGCUGGACUGGUCAGGCACGGGGCUAUCCCUGGUUCUAAAAGGCUGGAGGGUAGAAGUUAAAACCUGGAAAGCAACGAAGCUCAGCCCAGGGAGGGAAGCAGAGACUCUCCCAACAUAGUGCUGGGGAACUGGGUCUCAGAAGACAGUAGGCAUUGACAGGCGAUCCAAUUAGUUGACAUGUAUGUACUUCCUUACAAGGAUGAAGGUGUCUGAUAUACAGGCAAAACAGUGUUUUGUAAGAGACCCAGGGUUUCCAAAAAUCAAACAGCAGUUGUUUUCAUGGGAGGUGCAACCUAGCCCUGUUCCUAAGGCAAUGAAUGAUGCUUCAGAGCAAUGCUUUUCAGAAGGCAUGGUGGCAAACACCUGUGAUUCCAGCGCUGGGGAGGCUGAGGCAGAAGGAUUACCUGGAGUUCA